rnacentral:rRNA from 1 species
ACAACUUUCAGCAACGGAUCUCUUGGCUCUCGCAUCGAUGAAGAACGCAGCGAAAUGCGAUAAGUAAUGUGAAUUGCAGAAUUCAGUGAAUCAUCGAAUCUUUGAACGCACCCUUGCGCUCCUUGGUAUUCCGAGGAGCAUGCCUGUUUGAGUGUCAUUAA